rnacentral:rRNA from 1 species
GUGUACGGCCAUGCCACCUUGAACAAGCCCGACCCCGUCCGAUCUCGGAAGCUAAGCAGGGUCGGGCCUGGUUAGUACUUAGAUGGGAGACUACCUAGGAAGACCAGGUGCUGUAGGCG